rnacentral:lncRNA from 1 species
CAGGGUGAAAAUGGACUGAUACAGUAGGUGACAUGUGUCCAGCCUGCUUGGUUCCCAACUUUGCUGGAUCCAUUCUAUCUGUGGACGGAGCCACUAUCUCUGAAAGGAGAGAUCUCAUCCGCUGUCCACUGGGGAAUGGCCUUGCCCUAUGGCCCCUACCAAACAAAAACGUAGCAGAACACAGCAAAACAGCAGAGUCGGAAUGUGAAGUGCUGAUAGAGUUCCCUAACGCUGACUGUCUGCUCUGCAUUUCUGGAGAUUGUAUGCCUGUCAUCCUGCAUUCCUUGCUACAGCCACAAGCUGUCUCCACCAUCAGAUGUGGCUUACCUGGUUCCUGAGUCAAUUCCAUCCAGAUGGUGAAGCCAAGGCCUGAAGACCUUUCCUGCAAGGUCGCAGAGGAAGAGGCAGAAGAAGGACCAGAACCCAGCUCCCCUGACUCCCUAUCCAGUGCUCUUCUCAUAGAUUACAUUGCUUCAGCAUCCACCUGGCUAUUGCUCCAUCCAGGGGUUACAGGAGUCACUGACUGUUUUGGUUGCUUCUUGGUUGGAGGAUGUUGUGCCUCACCGAUGAGAGCCGGAAGCAAAGGUACCAGUUCUUAGAGGAAGCAUAGGAAUGUGUCCCUUCCUGCUCGGGUCUCUCAACUGAACUCAACCCUUCCUUGAUUGAUUGACAAGCAUGUUAUCUCUCAUAAUCCCUGCCCGGUAAGGGCUGAUGUCCCCAUUUUACAGAUGAGGAUAUUGGAGCUCAGAGAAGUGAAAUGAUUGCUGAAGGUCACACAGCCUGGCUUCAAGCCUCUCGGGCUCCAAAAGGCAUCUUCUGUUCUCUCCGUCAGGAAGCCUCUUUUGGAUGAUUAACUGAGAUUAAAAAUGAAAAGACACAUGAAAGAAAGGUCCUUUUUUUCAACCUGACAAGAACUAAGAAUGCCUCUGUAUUCCAGGCACCCAGACCAGGGUGGGCUGGAAAGCCAGCCAGAGAGAAAGCAGGAGAAAGAAAGCAUGUUCUAACAGGAAGGUUAAAGCACCCUGGGAUGUGAG